rnacentral:rRNA from 1 species
GAUGAACGCUGGCGGCGUGCCUAAUACAUGCAAGUCGAGCGAACAGACGAGGAGCUUGCUCCUCUGACGUUAGCGGCGGAAGGGUGAGUAACACGUGGAUAACCUACCUAUAAGACUGGGAUAAAUUCGGGAAACCGGAGCUAAUACCGGAUAAUAUAUUGAACCGCAUGGUUCAAUAGUGAAAGACGGUUUUGCUGUCACUUAUAGAUGGAUCCGCGCCGCAUUAGCUAGUUGGUAAGGUAACGGCUUACCAAGGCAACGAUGCGUAGCCGACCUGAGAGGGUGAUCGGCCACACUGGAACUGAGACACGGUCCAGACUCCUACGGGAGGCAGCAGUAGGGAAUCUUCCGCAAUGGGCGAAAGCCUGACGGAGCAACGCCGCGUGAGUGAUGAAGGUCUUCGGAUCGUAAAACUCUGUUAUUAGGGAAGAACAAAUGUGUAAGUAACUAUGCACGUCUUGACGGUACCUAAUCAGAAAGCCACGGCUAACUACGUG